GGUGCACAUGAUGGUAAAUGCGAUCAAAGUAUGAAAAAUCAUGAGUCCAAUUCUAUUAACUACUGAUGCACC
ensembl:snoRNA